rnacentral:rRNA from 1 species
GAUGAACGCUGGCGGCGUGCCUAAUACAUGCAAGUCGAGCGAACAGACGAGGAGCUUGCUCCUCUGACGUUAGCGGCGGACGGGUGAGUAACACGUGGAUAACCUACCUAUAAGACUGGGAUAACUUCGGGAAACCGAAGCUAAUACCGGAUAAUAUAUUGAACCGCAUGGUUCAAUAGUGAAAGACGGUUUUGCUGUCACUUAUAGAUGGAUCCGCGCCGCAUUAGCUAGUUGGUAAGGUAACGGCUUACCAAGGCAACGAUACGUAGCCGACCUGAGAGGGUGAUCGGCCACACUGGAACUGAGACACGGUCCAGACUCCUACGGGAGGCAGCAGUAGGGAAUCUUCCGCAAAGGGCGAAAGCCUGACGGAGCAACGCCGCGUGAGUGAUGAAGGUCUUCGGAUCGUAAAACUCUGUUAUUAGGGAAGAACAAAUGUGUAAGUAACUAUGCACGUCUUGACGGUACCUAAUCAGAAAGCCACGGCUAACUACGUG